GUCUAAGCUGUCGUAUCUGAGCGCCUCUGCAAAGACAGUGAUUAUGUAUGAGUGAUGAAAGUGUUUAGUGAUGUUGAAAGCUUUUUCUUUCAUUUUGGGUCACCCUGGCUCUGUGGGAAACAGUCAGCAUGUUAAAAAAAAAAAAAAACAGAAUUCUUGCUAUACAGGAAACUAGAUUUGUGAUAGGGCAUUACAUUUUAUCUAGUUCCUGAAAACUGGUAAACCCUGAUAACUGGCCAGGUUUCAUUGGUAUGGGUGCCACAUUUGAGAGCUUUUAGUGCACUUGUAAUUGUUCAUGUAUAUUUAUCAUUGAAUUGGGUGGGAGCAUUGAUUAUAGCAAGUUUUUCCAAAGAUCUCUAAUAAUAGAAUGCUUUUUACAGAAAACAUUGGAUACCUUAACACGGGUACUGGCUCGGCAUGUGUAUGGGUUAGAGCUCAAUAAUCUGCCUUUGGAGCGUGUGACGGAACGUCGUCUAAUUAAGAGGGGAACAAAAUUAACAGGCCUGGAUUCAGUAAGAAGCAGUUUUGCUCGAAGUUGGAGCAGUGUACGAAUGGAACGCCAGGUCAAUGCUCCAGAUGGCAACAAUGUUGGCCCUCCUACACUGACACACCUACAGGAGGAAGCACAAGGAGACAACGUGAGCACACAAGGGAGCAACGAGCGCAGUCCAUUUUCUCGUAAACGCCGCGCAGCGUGGGUGGAGGAUCUCUCAAGGCUGGUGCUUGUGGCAGUGGCAUAGUCCCAAGCUAUCUCCACACCACUCUUCUAGUGACCACUCUCAUCCC